UGGCAGUGAUGAUCACAAAUCCGUGUUUCUGACAAGCGAUUGACGAUAGAAAACCGGCUGAGCCA
rnacentral:snoRNA from 15 species